AAUGAGUAAUUAACGUACGUUUUACUUUAUGUUAUUAGCUGUAUCGAUAACGUCGUAUAUGGCGCAACUUUGUCAUGUAUUGUUCAGAACGUUACCGUUGGGUCAAUAUUUUAAGCGUGAACCCAAAAGUGUACAUUUACGAGUUUUUAACUGGAAGAAUUAAUAUGUCUAGAUAUGUUUAUUUAUAAGAGUGUUUGAUUAUAAGCAUUUUGAGUCGAGGACUCCUAUAUUUUAUGUAAGCGUUUUACGUUAUGUUACGUUAUGUUUUUCUUCCUGCUUAGAAUAUUUACUUCCGGUAAUUUGAAAUAAAUACCAGUGCAACGUCACGUUCGUCAGUCUUUGCUGUGUUUACUUUUGGCUUGCAGCAAGGCUCAUCCCGGGGGUUCCUAGAGGUAAGAAGCAGCGCAUUAGCUGUAUGCCUCGCAUUUUAUAUUACAAGUAAGGGUUAUAAUUUAGAGGUAAGAAGCAGCGCAGAUAGCUGUAUGCCUUGCAUUUUAUUUAUAUUGUCAUUGUUAUAUUUAAGAUAAUCCCGUUUGACCCGUACGAAAGAGAAAGAAUAUUAU
rnacentral:lncRNA from 1 species